rnacentral:rRNA from 1 species
UACGUAGGGUGCAAGCGUUGUCCGGAAUUAUUGGGCGUAAAGAGCUUGUAGGCGGUUUGUCGCGUCUGCUGUGAAAUUUCGGGGGCUCAACCCCCGAACUUGCAGUGGGUACGGGCAGACUAGAGUGUGGUAGGGGGAGACUGGAAUUCCUGGUGUAGCGGUGAAAUGCGUAGAGAUCUGGAAGAACACCGAAGGCGAAGGCAGCGUUCUGGGAAGCAACUGACGCUCAUGUGCGAAAGCCAGGGGAGCGGAACGGG